AACAUUGUAAUUAACGAUACUUUAAUAAAAAUAUUAUCUCUGUUUAGCAGCCAGAUUGCAAAAGGCUGGCAGCUACAGCUCCAAUUGGGCCCCUAGCAUGGGAACCUCCAUGUGCUGCAGGUGAGACCCUAAUAAGACAAAAAGACAAAAAAGAAUUGAUUGCAAAAUAUGUUAUAUUGGGCUAGGAUGUCUUUUUGUAUAUAUGUGUGUGCUGUGUGAGAGGGGGCAAGAGAGAAAAAAUAUGAAACUAUGCAUGGAACUAAAGAUUGGAGAAUAUGGCUCAAAAUAUUAGUAGGCUAUCUCUAGACUAUUUCAUUUGGCUUUCUUUUCAUGUUUUCCAAUUUUUAUGCAGUAAAUACAUUUUAUAAAUAGAAAAGUAACCCAACACAUUUUAAUAAAAAUAUAAAGUGCCAAGUGCUGUGAAUAAGUUAUACACUGGAUGUUAUGGGAAUGGAUGUUUCUGAAUUCAGUGAUUCCUGGGUAGAAUCUCUGUGCUCAACUUUGAGGGAUAAAAAAUGCUUUAGGAAGGAACCUAGGGAAUGACAUUCCAGGAGGAGGACCCAGGGUGUGUAGAGCAUGGAUGGAGGGGUCAAGAAGCAAUAUUAUGUAGGGCACUUCUGGUCACCUGAAAUGUGCCUUGGGGUGGACUAGGAGAUGGAGAUUGAAUGCCAUGCUAUGGAUCUUAGCUUUUAUCCUUUAAGUGUGGAAGCAUUUAAAUACGGAGGUUUAAGCAGAGGACUCAUUAUAGUCAGAUCUUCAUUUUCUAUAGAGUACAGUGGUGGCAAUGGACUGCAUGGAAUAAAGAGGUCAGAGGAAGAUAGGAAGCAUGAGGAUUUGUCAGAAUGCUGGUGUGCAAGUAAAAGAUGAUACAGGUCUGGACCAGGACAACGUAGUGAGAGUGGAGAGAAAUAUUUCAGAGGUAAUUAAGAAGGGUUUAAGGUGUGUUUCUUUUCUGCCUAUGUCAUACUCUAUUGCUAAAUUAGCAACACUACAGCUCAUGUAAGAGAGUAUACUUAGGUGCCUACAUAAUAUGUCUGCAUGGUUUACAACUGGAAGAAGAGGGUCAAAGGGGAUGGGAAGGCCAAACCCAAAGACCUUGGAAGAUUUCAUAAUUUUGCUUGGGUCUAACUUCUGCAAGCCCAGAGGAGGCGGUCAGGAUUAGAAAACGCUGCUCUCUGGCCCACAACAAGGCUGUGGAGAGAUGAGAGACAGCAAUGCGCCUGAGUCAGACUCCGGAGGAGGACCCUACUGGCCUAAACUGCAGAUGAGACCAGAUGAGCAACUGUGACCACAGGGGUAGUCCAACAGCAGGCUGCGAAGAGAUGCAACUUGAGAAGGGAGAGAGGGAGUUGUUGUUUUUUUUCCUGAGUCAUGUUUCGUUUUGUAACAGCAGGAUUUCCAACUGGCAUAAAGACAGUCGGGAAUUAAGAGAGAGAACACACAGCCUAAGUGUGUCAUGAGAACAGGAUGUCGAGACAAGUUUGCUGGCAGUUAGAAACAGCUUGGCUGGCCACACUAAGGAGGGACAUGGGGUACAGGAAAGAAUAAAUUCCCAAACUCUUUUUGGCCCAUGGUGUACCUCAUCCAAGUUCUGUUUCAUGUUUGCGCCAAAUGAACAAAUGCUUUCGUGGUGUGAUUUUGAGGCUUUCUCUUAAAUUCCUCUUUCUGACUGUGUGCGUGGGAAAUGUCUAAAAUCUUCCAAGUAAAGACCGAUCUCCUUCUUCCAUCCACAUAGUGAAUAAUGGUAUUCAAAUCCAAACCCAGGGGUAAGUGACUGAUCUCAGCCCUCCUGCUAGCAGGCUGGAUGUAGGCAGAGGCAAGAGAAGCCCUAAUACAAGAAGAAAUCAGGAACCUAAGGGGGCUUUGCAGUAGGAUGCCAGAAGCCUGGGUUCAGAGGUCUGAAGUACUAAGACAUCUGGCCGCUGACGUCACGCCCAAAGAGGGUCACAGCAUCUUUUCUCUGAAGGGCUCUCUGAACUCUGCUGCCUGGGAAAGUCAAACCUCUGGUCAGAUCUGAGGGGGUUGAACAACCUCAUAUAAUUCCUACGUUUCUUUCCAUUUGCACAUUUAGAUUCCAUGGACCAGGAGGACUGAAAAGGUUUGGAGCUUUCCUAGACAAUUUAGAGGCACCUACAAAAGUAAGCUUUCCACAAUAGGAUAACAAAGGAUUUCAAUGGAACCAGCAAAGAAAGGCAGAGGUAAAAAUCACAGGAAUUCUUUUUUUUUUUUCAGUAAGGAUUGUUCUGAGUUUCAAAGGGAUGUGCUAUGCACUACAUUCACGUAUGGGAUUUGGGAGGGUGGUGGUGUCUUGGUGUCUUGAUUUCCUUUAACCCAAGGGAGAAUUCUUUUUUAGGCAAAAAGCCCCAAAGCACAGGAAAUAUAAUGAGGUGGCAGUAGGUGGUGAAGAUAGGGUGACAGAGAGAUAUUUCUGGCCCCAAAGUCUUCAGAUUAGACACCAGGAAGUAACCUGUCACAUGACCUCCAGGAACCUGAAGACUUGGAGGAUCGCUUUUCUGAGAAGACUUGCCCAGCAAAACACCUCGCCCACAGCCUCCUCUUGCCAGCUAGUCCUAAAGGAGCUCCCUGUCAGCAGAGCCGGAGCAUCUGCCUUGAUCCCCUGGCCCCACGCUCCAAAGUGAUUCAGAGAAGCCAGCAGUUUCUUUCAGUGCUCAGCUGGCAGCUGUCUCCUUUGAUAAAUACUCCUUUUGGGGGCAGGGGGGCUUUUUGUUUUUUCCUUCACCCUUAACAGAUUUUCCUUUAAAAAAAAACAUCGCCAAUGAAAUAGAAUGAAGCUUACUUCAUAGUUUGAACAUUGGUUAAGUCCACAGGAAUAUAAAAUACCAUUUCUCUUGCCUUUUGUCUCUUUCUUUCUUUUUUUAAAAAAGUAUUUGUUUAGGGUGCACUGCUAUUAGCUAGGUCUUUUUCUGGGUGUGGCUGAAAUUGCCUGAGGGAGGAGGUGUGGGUGGCGUAUGAGAGUCAGCGGAGGAGUCCUGCACUGAUGAGCAAGUAAAACGUGUGUGUGUGUGUGUGAGAGAGAGAGAGAGAGAGAGAGAAACACUGACUUAGGAAAUAUUAUUAUAUUUCCAGUUGUUCAAAGCAGAGCUGAUGAUUCCUUGAACAAUUUUAAAAUUUACUUUUUACCCUCUAUUUGAAAUUUCGCUGGAACAAGGGCUUUGGGUCCAGUUCCUGCAUUGCCUCAAAGGGUCCUUGUUGUGAAAUGCUAAGGGCUGGACAGACUAGAAAUCCUGAUUCCUUCCCCUUGCUCUCCUCCUCCCAUUGCCUUUUUUCUAACAUAUUCUAGGGUGAAAGCUUAGAAAAUCAUCCUAACUUCUAGAAGACACUAGCCGGCAAAAUAUACCUCUUUACUUCUCUGGAUUAAAAGAAAAUUCUGAGAUCUUUCUCUAUGUCAAAAUGAUACCUAUAUUUCAGAACCCAGAUAACAUACUUCCCUCAUCAUGAAGGAUCCUCUAAUUCUUCCAAAUCAAAAAAAAAA
rnacentral:lncRNA from 1 species